rnacentral:rRNA from 1 species
CCAGCCUUCUGAAAGGAAGAUUAAUCCAGGAUGGGAUCAUGAGUUCACAUGUCCGCAUGAUUAAAGGUAUUUUCCGGUAGACGAUGGGGAUGCGUUCCAUUAGAUAGUAGGCGGGGUAACGGCCCACCUAGUCAACGAUGGAUAGGGGUUCUGAGAGGAAGGUCCCCCACAUUGGAACUGAGACACGGUCCAAACUCCUACGGGAGGCAGCAGUGAGGAAUAUUGGUCAAUGGGCGAUGGCCUGAACCAGCCAAGUAGCGUGAAGGAUGACUGCCCUAUGGGUUGUAAACUUCUUUUAUAAAGGAAUAAAGUCGGGUAUGCAUACCCGUUUGCAUGUACUUUAUGAAUAAGGAUCGGCUAACUCCGUGCCAGCAGCCGCGGUAAUACGGAGGAUCCGAGCGUUAUCCGGAUUUAUUGGGUUUAAAGGGAGCGUAGAUGGAUGUUUAAGUCAGUUGUGAAAGUUUGCGGCUCAACCGUAAAAUUGCAGUUGAUACUGGAUGUCUUGAGUGCAGUUGAGGCAGGCGGAAUUCGUGGUGUAGCGGUGAAAUGCUUAGAUAUCACGAAGAACUCCAAUUGCGAAGGCAGCCUGCUAAGCUGCAACUGACAUUGAGGCUCGAAAGUGUGGGUAUCAAACAGGAUUGGAUACCCUGGUAGUCCACACGGUAAACGAUGAAUACUCGCUGUUUGCGAUAUACGGCAAGCGGCC